rnacentral:rRNA from 1 species
AACGAACGCUGGCGGCGUGCCUAACACAUGCAAGUCGAACGGCAUUGAGGUGCUUGCACUUCAAUUUAGUGGCGCACGGGUGAGUAACGCGUAGAUAAUCUGCCUGACGAUCUGGGAUAACACUUCGAAAGAGGUGCUAAUACCGGAUAAGCCCACGGGGUCUUUGGAUUCUGCGGGCAAAGGGGGGGACCCUCGGGCCUUCUGUCGUCCGAUCAGUCUGCGUACCAUGAGCUAGUUGGUAGGGUAAUGGCCUACAAAGGCUACGAUGGUUAGCUGUUCUGAGAGGAGGAUCAGCCACACUGGAACUGAGACACGGUCCAGACUCCUACGGGAGGCAGCAGUGGGGAAUUUUGCGCAAUGGGCGAAAGCCUGACGCAGCAACGCCGCGUGAGUGAUGGAGGCUUUCGGGUCGUAAAGCUCUGUCAAUGGGAAAGAAGUGUAUUGUGGCUAAUAUCCACGAUACUUGACGGUACCCAUAAAGGAAGCACCGGCUAACUCCGUGCCAGCAGCCGCCGUAAGAC